CGGGGGCGGGGCUGGCGGGAAGACUCGGACGGCUAGCUGCUGCGGGCCUCAGCCGGGAGCUGGGGAAACCGCCGGCCUAGGCUCUGAGGGUUGAGGAACUGUCAGGGCGGGACUGCUGGCCCGGCCCGGUUUGCCUGACUUCAGAGGAAAUGGAGCCUGGCUUCGUUUCUCCAGAAACCUCGAAAGAGGCCAGAGCACCUGGCAGGAAGUCCCUUUUUCCCCCCCGAGGGAGAGUCUGGACCUUCUGCAGCCGGGUCCGCCCCCCUCCCCACCCCGCCAGGCUGGGCCAGAUGUGAUGUUCCCCCUAAAGUCUGGCUUUUCAUCCCGCCGUCCAUCACCCCGCCGGGGCCUCCCCUGGGUGAACUUCCCAGUCCCUUGCCCUCGCGCCUCUCCGCUCAUUGCUGGCCCUCCUGACCCGGUCCCCACACGCUGUCGGCUACGAGAUCUGUGGAGAUCCGCCUGCUGCCGAAGUGCUCUGCCGUCGGAUGUGGCAAUACACGUAAACCUCUGCGCGGCCGAUGUCGGAUGUCUAGCGAACCACGCCCUCUCCAAGAAGUUCUGGAUCUCAGCCCUGCAGAGGGACCGCUUCCGUGGGAGCUCUGUCUCACCCGGGGUGAUGGCCACUCCCUGCAUCUGCUGUGCCUGCGUUCUUUAAGGGGCUUUGUACGAUAGCUGCCAUCAAAGGGAGGUGUGCGACCACUGCAUCAAGUCCCACUCAAGGAUGGUCCUGAAAGACAGUAGUGAAGGGAGAGCCUCCCGGUGGUCCCCUUUCGGCCAGUCUGAUCAUCUGCUUUGCUUUGGAAGAGAGGUGGCUGGGGCUCUGGAUCUACACCGACUAAGGAGCGACGGGCAACAGACCGGCUGGCUGGUCAGGCACCUCUAAUGGUCAAGACCAGGAAGUCUGGGAAAGAGGUCCAUGGACGGAAGUACCAGAAGGAGCACCAGGUGAAGACACAGAGAUGUCGUGAGGCUGACCUUGACAGACUGCAUCAUCCGGACUCCCUCACCUUCCGGCUUCUAGUUGGAUGUGGCCAGUGGAAGCGCUGCAGGACAUCAAAGGGCUGAGAAUAAAGAUGCAGAUGUAGAGAAUGGACUUGAGGAGCCGGCA